rnacentral:rRNA from 1 species
UACGUAGGAGACGAGCGUUGUCCGGAAUCACUGGGCGUAAAGCGCGUGUAGGCGGGUCCGCAAGUCUGCUGUGAAAGCUCCUGGCUUAACCGGGAGUGGUCGGUGGAAACUGCGAACCUGGAGGACGGUAGAGGUAGGUAGAAUUCCCGGUGUAGUGGUGAAAUGCGUAGAGAUCGGGAGGAAUACCUGUGGCGAAGGCGGCCUACUGGGCCGGACCUGACGCUGAGACGCGAAGGCGUGGGGAGCGAACGGG